GAUCCUGGCUCAGAUUGAACGCUGGCGGCGUGCUUAACACAUGCAAGUCGCGCGUGAAAGGACUUCGGUCCGAGUAAAGCGGCGCACGGGUGAGUAACGCGUGGAUGAUCUACCCAUGAGUUAGGAAUAACGGCUGGAAACGGUCGCUAAUACCAAAUACGCUCCGAUUUCAACUUCGGGGGAAAGGUGGCCUCUGCUUGCAAGCUACUGCUCAUGGAUGAGUCCGCGUCCCAUUAGCUAGUUGGUGGGGUAACGGCCCACCAAGGCGACGAUGGGUAGCCGGUCUGAGAGGAUGACCGGCCACACUGGGACUGGAACACGGCCCAGACUCCUACGGGAGGCAGCAGUGGGGAAUAUUGCGCAAUGGGCGAAAGCCUGACGCAGCGACGCCGCGUGAGGGAAUGAAGGUCCUCGGAUCGUAAACCUCUGUCAGGAGGGAAGAACCGCCACGGUGCUAAUCAGCCGUGGUCUGACGGUACCUCCAAAGGAAGCACCGGCUAACUCCGUGCCAGCCGCCGC
rnacentral:rRNA from 1 species